UGGGGAAUAUUGCACAAUGGGCGCAAGCCUGAUGCAGCCAUGCCGCGUGUGUGAAGAAGGCCUUCGGGUUGUAAAGCACUUUCAGCGAGGAGGAAGGUGGUGAACUUAAUACGUUCAUCAAUUGACGUUACUCGCAGAAGAAGCACCGGCUAACUCCGUGCCAGCAGCCGCGGUAAUACGGAGGGUGCAAGCGUUAAUCGGAAUUACUGGGCGUAAAGCGCACGCAGGCGGUUUGUUAAGUCAGAUGUGAAAUCCCCGGGCUCAACCUGGGAACUGCAUUUGAAACUGGCAAGCUAGAGUCUCGUAGAGGGGGGUAGAAUUCCAGGUGUAGCGGUGAAAUGCGUAGAGAUCUGGAGGAAUACCGGUGGCGAAGGCGGCCCCCUGGACGAAGACUGACGCUCAGGUGCGAAAGCGUGGGGAGCAAACAGGAUUAGAUACCCCUGGUAGUCCAGCGCUGUAAACGAUGUCGAUUUGGAGGUUGUGCCCUUGAGGCGUGGCUUCCGGAGCUAACGCGUUAAAUCGACCGCCUGGGGGAGUACGGCCGCAAGGUUAAAACUCAAAUGAAUUG
rnacentral:rRNA from 1 species